rnacentral:pre_miRNA from 1 species
AAAAAGUCAAACCCUGUAUUUUCGUGUCCAACUUUGACUGUCCGUCUUAUAUGAAAUUUUUUUAUAAUUCGUAUUUUCAUUAUUGUUAGAUAAUAAAACAUGAUUAACAUUUUAUGCGUGACUUGUCUUUUUUUUUCAUAAUUUUUUCAAAUAAGACGGACGGUCAAAUGUUGGGCACGGAAACUAAGGUUUGUCUUUUUU